rnacentral:rRNA from 1 species
AUAAGCGCACACGGUGGAUGCCUUGGCGGUCAGAGGCGAUGAAGGACGUGGCAGCCUGCGAAAAGUAUCGGGGAGCUGGCAACAAGCUUUGAUCCGGUAAUGUCCGAAUGGGGAAACCCACCCGCUUGCGGGUAUCCUGCAGUGAAUACAUAGCUGCUGGAAGCGAACCUGGUGAACUGAAAUAUCUAAGUAACCAGAGGAAAAGAAAUCAACCGAGAUUCCGUAAGUAGCGACGAGCGAACGCGGACUAGCCCUUAAGCUGGAUUGGUUCUAGGAAAACGCUCUGGAAAGAGCGGCCAUAGAAGGUGAUAGCCCUGUAUCUGAAAGGGCCAUUCCAGUGAAGACGAGUAGGGCGGGGCACGUGAAACCCUGUCUGAACAUGGGGGGACCAUCCUCCAAGGCUAAAUACUACUGACCGACCGAUAGUGAACCAGUACCGUGAGGGAAAGGCGAAAAGAACCCCGGAGAGGGGAGUGAAAUAGAACCUGAAACCGUGUGCGUACAAGCAGUAGGAGCUCCGCAAGGAGUGACUGCGUACCUUUUGUAUAAUGGGUCAGCGACUUACUGUUCGUGGCAAGCUUAACCGUAUAGGGGAGGCGAAGGGAAACCGAGUCUGAUAAGGGCGCAUAGUCGCGGGCAGUAGACCCGAAACCGGGUGAUCUAGUCAUGCCCAGGGUGAAGGUGCGGUAACACGCACUGGAGGCCCGAACCCACUCCCGUUGCAAAGGUAGGGGAUGAGGUGUGAUUAGGAGUGAAAAGCUAAUCGAACCCGGAGAUAGCUGGUUCUCCUCGAAAGCUAUUUAGGUAGCGCCUCAUAUGUAUCCUCUCGGGGGUAGAGCACUGUUAUGGCUAGGGGGUCAUCGCGACUUACCAAACCAUUGCAAACUCCGAAUACCGAGACGGACUGUAUGGGAGACACACGGCGGGUGCUAACGUCCGUCGUGAAAAGGGAAACAACCCAGACCCACAGCUAAGGUCCCAAAUUCACUGCUAAGUGGAAAACCAUGUGGAAAGGCACAGACAGCCAGGAGGUUGGCUUAGAAGCAGCCACCCUUUAAAGAAAGCGUAAUAGCUCACUGGUCGAGUCGGUCUGCGGGGAAGAUUUAACGGGGCUAAGCAGUGAACCGAAGCUUGGGGUGCAUACUUUGUAUGCGCGGUAGAGGAGCGUUCCGUAAGCCGUUGAAGGUGGAUUGAGAAGUCUGCUGGAGGUAUCGGAAGUGCGAAUGCUGACAUGAGUAACGAUAAUGCGGGUGAAAAACCCGCACGCCGAAAGCCCAAGGUUUCCUUGCGCAACGUUAAUCGGCGCAGGGUGAGUCGGCCCCUAAGGCGAGGACGAAAGUCGUAGUCGAUGGGAAGCAGGUUAAUAUUCCUGCACCUCGCGUAAGUGCGAUGGAGGGACGGAGAAGGUUAGGUGUACCAGGCGUUGGUUGUCCUGGGGAAAGGCGGUAGGUUUGGAUCUUUGGCAAAUCCGGGAUCCUUUAAGACCGAGCACCGAGACGAGCCUUUAUGGCGAAGUCACUGAUACCACGCUUCCAGGAAAAGCUCCUAAGCUUCAGCUUACGCAGACCGUACCGUAAACCGACACAGGUGGGUAGGAUGAGAAUUCUCAGGCGCUUGAGAGAACUCGGGUGAAGGAACUAGGCAACAUGGCACCGUAACUUCGGGAGAAGGUGCACCCUUUUUGGUGGCUCGUGCGAGCUAUAGCUGAAGAGGGUCGCAGUAACCAGGCCGCUGCGACUGUUUAUCAAAAACACAGCACUCUGCAAACACGAAAGUGGACGUAUAGGGUGUGACGCCUGCCCGGUGCUGGAAGGUUAAUUGAUGGGGUCAGCCGCAAGGCGAAGCUCUUGAUCGAAGCCCCAGUAAACGGCGGCCGUAACUAUAACGGUCCUAAGGUAGCGAAAUUCCUUGUCGGGUAAGUUCCGACCUGCACGAAUGGCGUAACGACAGCGGCGCUGUCUCCACCCGAGACUCAGUGAAAUUGAAAUCGCUGUGAAGAUGCAGCGUUCCCGUGGCAAGACGGAAAGACCCCGUGAACCUUUACUAUAGCUUUACACUGAACGUUGAGUUCGUCUGUGUAGGAUAGGUGGGAGGCUAUGAAACUGUGGCGCUAGCUGCAGUGGAGCCAUCCUUGAAAUACCACCCUGUCGUGCUUGACGUUCUAACCUGGGCCCAUUAUCUGGGUCGGGGACCGUGUAUGGUGGGUAGUUUGACUGGGGCGGUCUCCUCCUAAAGAGUAACGGAGGAGCUCGAAGGUACGCUCAGCGCGGUCGGACAUCGCGCACUGUGUGCAAAGGCAUAAGCGUGCUUGACUGCAAGAUCGACGGAUCAAGCAGGUAGGAAACUAGGACUUAGUGAUCCGGUGGUUCUGUAUGGAAGGGCCAUCGCUCAACGGAUAAAAGGUACUCCGGGGAUAACAGGCUGAUACCGCCCAAGAGUUCAUAUCGACGGCGGUGUUUGGCACCUCGAUGUCGGCUCAUCACAUCCUGGGGCUGUAGUCGGUCCCAAGGGUAUGGCUGUUCGCCAUUUAAAGUGGUACGCGAGCUGGGUUCAGAACGUCGUGAGACAGUUCGGUCCCUAUCUGCCAUGGGCGUUGGAGAUUUGAGAGGGGCUGCUCCUAGUACGAGAGGACCGGAGUGGACGAACCUCUGGUGUUCCGGUUGUCACGCCAGUGGCAUUGCCGGGUAGCUAUGUUCGGAAGCGAUAACCGCUGAAAGCAUCUAAGCGGGAAGCGCGCCUCAAGAUGAGAUCUCCCGGGGCACAAGCCCCCUGAAGGAACCAUGUAGACUACGUGGUUGAUAGGUCAGGUGUGUAAGUACAGCAAUGUAUUGAGCUAACUGAUACUAAUGAUCCGUGCGGCUUGACC